GAAAGCUAGGGGAGCGAAUAGGAUUAGAUACCCUAGUAGUCCUAGCCGUAAAUGAGUUUUAGGCCCAUAAGUACUUUUUGGAAAUGUAGCGAUCGUUUUGGUUUGAA
rnacentral:rRNA from 1 species